UUUUCUUGAAAAGCUCUUCAGGGUGGCAGGCUUCAAGGCUCUCAGCAGGGCCCUGCUGGGAAAGCAGCCGGCCAGCCCUUCCCUGCAGUGUACUUGCUCGCAGCUGACCCUGGCAUUAGGGGCCUUCCUUUCUGCAGCAGGGAAGGAUGUUGGAAGGGUGGAGAAAGCUCUGAGGAGGGAGAGCCCCGGCCCUUCUGGGAACCAUUCGAAAUGGAAGGCGCUCCUGCGUGGCCCUGCCCUGCUGUGAGCCUCACCCACCCUUGGCUUUCAGCACGCCUUUGGUGUGGAAAGAAUGGGGCCCAGCUCGUGGGCCUUGCAGGAGGCAGAGGUCAGUGCGUUCUGGGACUCAGCCUUUCCGCCUUGGGCAAAUAUAGCAGAUGGAAGGCCUCGGCCUCCUCCUGUCCCCAGGCUGCCCUGGGAGGUGGCACUGGGCAGGGCGGGAGACUGGUGGCCCCUCUCUAACAGGCUGGGUCUCUACUGAGCGGAAACAAAACCUAAGCCCUUUCUCCGCAACAGCCAAGGCUGCGGCUGGAACCCACUCUGCUGCCUGCUCCCGAUCCUGGACAGUUUCUGGGCAGCUGGCCAAGGGCCGAUCUUUCUGCUGAAGUCCAAGCCUCACAGAGUCUGGACCUGCCUUGUUUCAGAGCCGCAGGCCAGAGGUGAGGAUGGGGAAAGGAGUUGCCUUCCUCGUGAUGGUGAAGGACUACAAGGCUCAUGGUUUCUGGUGAGGUUGGUUCUGCGAAGAAAUCAGAAACAAGCUCCUGCUGUCUUUGCAGAGAGGAACAUCUUCCUUUGCCUUUCUCGGCCGUGUUGUUCAAAUGCACACCGGACUCUUACCAGGACCCCUGCACUGGCAGGAGUGGAGAAUGUGCAGAUGGAACAAUCCAGCUUAGUCCUUGAGGGUUCCCUUCCCAGGGAGCAGAGCCGGGAGCAAGGUGCACUUUCCAGGCAGUUCCUAAGUGUGGAAGUCCAAGCUCAGCCUUUACCUUCAGUAGCUCUGAAGACCUGGCCGGGGCCCUGGCCUUCAGCUCCUCAACCGUGUGUCCAGCCAGGCUCUCUGGAACUCCAGCAUCUCAGACCCAGCUCUCUUCCUGCCGGGGCAGCUGCUGGAUAGCUCAUCCACAUCUCCAGCACUGGCUCUGGAAACUCUCCCCAGACUCCUCCACCCUUAUCUCCAAAGAAGUCCACUCCAGCUUUCCAAUUGCUGAAGAGAAAAUCUUGGAGUCAUCUGGACUCUCUACUCUCUCUCUUAACUCACACCCAACCUGCCAACCAGUCAUGUUAACUCUACCUGGAAAUACAUGCAGACCCCGAUUCACUGCGCUGGGAAGCAGACCUGUGGUGCCUAGAGUGUGGGCGGAGGCAGGAUGACCAAAGCCUUGAGGAAAUUCUGGAGAUGAUGGAAAUCUCAGUACUUUGAUUGUGGAGGUGGUUUAAUGGGUGUGCCUAAACUUAUCAAGUUGUGCAGUUUAAUGCAUGCUAAGUAUACCUCAAUAAAAC
rnacentral:lncRNA from 1 species